UGUGUGUGUAGGGCAUAGGUGCCGAUUCCGUGGAUGCUCGGGCCCGGUAGCACCCACGGAAAAUGAUGAGCAUCCAGUGCCGGUGCUCAGGGCAGCAGGCCCAGGGCACCGUACCGCACGGACAGCACAGCGGCAGCAGCACACUACAGCCCUGGAAGCUGCCUGGAUUUCCAAUCCCCACUGCCCUGGAGCAAAGGUGACGGAGAAUAGGCACGGACCAGUUAACAUCCUAGGUGCGGAUUGGCCAAGGCUCCUCACUGGGAAGAUUUUGGCAUUUGUCCCCGUCCCCCUGUUUGAUCACUCUCGUUAGAUGGACAUUUACUACCUGCCGUCGGCUCUGCACCUCCUGCUAUGGGAUGGGAAACUGGAGGAAAAUCCUGUAAAUCUUCUGGAGUUUGUGUAGGUUUGCUCUCUUUGCUCUCAGGAUGGAUAGAAGUUUUCCCAUGUACCAAAUCAACAGAACAGGUCACCAUAGUAACCACCUGGCUUCCUCUACACUUCCUGAUGGUUGGUCACGUGCUGCGUUCCACACAGCCAGCGCCGGAUGCGGUCACAGUGAGGGAGGAGUUCAGGUGACCUGACUGAAGGCUGCGGCAAGCAAAGCGGCCGGCACUGUGACAUCAUCGGACGGGGACUUGAUGCGACCAGAAGGUGGGCUAGGCGGCCUGGACGGAGUUCACUAU